rnacentral:misc_RNA from 1 species
UAUCCUGUUCCAAUGUAAAAUCCUAAGACAAAAAAGUGAAAAUUAAAAAAAAAAUUAUGCACUUAAAAAAAUAAUAAUAAGGAAAGCCACGGCAAUCAAAAUUAAAUAGCAUCUGCUGCAUCAAAAGGUACACAAACAACUGACGAACUUUUACAAUUUUAAAACCCUAAUUUGCAACUUUAAGAGCUCAUUAAAAGAAAAAAAGGCAAAUAAUCAGAAACCAGAAACAUAGGGAAAAUGAAAAAUCAGCAAAGCUCAUAGAAUUCCAAGAAAGAAAAAGAAAUAAAGAGACCCAUAAAAUCUACUAAAAGGUGAACAUUUAUAGUGUCCUCAUCAAGAAAAAUACCUGCUAUGAUCCUAGAUAUUUCUGCAACCAACAUAAGAGGAUUCCGAAUUAAACAAUACGUAUUUGCUAUAUUAGCCACAGUCAAGUGCAUUCUCUAAUUCUCAGCAUUGCUCCCAUUAUCCCCCACAAUCUUUGUAUGAUGGCAAUUUCACAUAAUUAUAUAUAUUUUUUUGGCAAUCACAGUUAACACCACAAUUCAACAGCAAACAACGCAUAAACCCAAACUUUAACCCACAUAUAUAAAUAUGAUUAGCACAACGGGUUGAGCUUUAGAUUUUUUUAAGGCAAAAAUUUGGAUAUACCUUGUGAUAGAGCGCUUUCCAGG